rnacentral:piRNA from 1 species
UAGAGGAAUAACUUGGAACACAGCUCU